rnacentral:rRNA from 1 species
UACAGAGGUCUCAAGCGUUGUUCGGAUUCAUUGGGCGUAAAGGGUGCGUAGGCGGCGCGGUAAGUCGGGUGUGAAAUCUUGGAGCUUAACUCCGAAACUGCAUUCGAUACUGCCGUGCUUGAGGACUGGAGAGGAGACUGGAAUUUACGGUGUAGCGGUGAAAUGCGUAGAUAUCGUAAGGAAGACCAGUGGCGAAGGCGGGUCUCUAGUACGGUACUGACGCUGAGACGCGAAAGCGUGGGGGAGCGAACAGG